ACGGAGGGCGCGAGCGUUAUUCGGAAUUACUGGGUGUAAAGCGCGUGCAGGCGGGCAGGCACGCCCGUUGUGACAAUCCCGGGCUUAACCCGGGAAGUGCAUUGGAAACUGCCUUUCUUGAGUACUGGAGAGGUAGGGGGAAUUCCCUGGUUAGAGGUUUAAGUCGUAGUGAUCGGGAGGAAUAUGAGUGGCGAAGGCGCUCUUCUGGACGGAUACUGGCGGUGAGACGCGGAAGCGUGGGGAGCAAGCAG
rnacentral:rRNA from 1 species